AGCGGGGUACGCAACUGGCGAUAGGCGUGGUCCAGGAAGGUUGAAAAACCGGGCCACCGCUGACGUGGAAACCAGCAGAUGCUUGCCGUCUGUGAACCACUGGGGAGCGUACCGCCCAGGCUGAGCCUGAAGCGUUCCGCCGUUCGCCUGGGCAGCCCUU
rnacentral:ncRNA from 10 species